AACUUCCUUACUACAAUGCCCUAAACCUAACCUCUUUACCAUUGAACUUCUAUACAAGAACUGAAUCUUUCAAAGUAAGGUUAAUACUUUAAUAUUUCGCUAUUAUAGCGAUUGUUUUUCACAAUCCAAUUCUAAUCUCAUCCAUCUGCAAAUGUUCGACAAAAAUGAACAGAUUCUACUUCGGCCGGACUUAACCUUCUUACUUCGGUGCUCGGUCUCAACAACCUCACUUGAAUUCCAUCCCAAGAAAGGACAAACUCGAGCAGCGAAGCGUAGACGUGCUGAAAUAUGAAUAUUUUCGAUUUCUUCCCGCGCCCCCGGGGGAGAAUCCUUUCAGCCGCAGAUGCUACCAGAGUUCACAGCGGCAACCAGUUCCUUCGAGUCAUAAAUACCUGGCGCGAUCUUCGGGGAAGGGUUUCUGCGACCCUAAAUCAAGGUCAGCAACGAUGUACGUCGUCGUAGUCGCAGCUACUCUUCACUUUCGCAUCCUCUAACUUCCUCGCGCCUCUUUCCCUAGACAGUCAGUGUGUGCAACAGCAGGGAAUAUGAUUUAGUACUUUUGACAGGAUUAAUAAUUUUCAGCGGCAGGGAGGUAGCAGAUGUCUCGACAUUUUCGCACCCCAUUCUCGCGUCUUCUACGAGUGCCAUCGUCGACUGCUAACGUCUCCUUCUUCCCUCUAUUUUACUCUGUCUGCAGAGCAAGGGCGCUGAACCGACCCAGGUAACAUCGGCGAGAAAUGUGCGUGUUGAGCAGGAUACACGCAUUUUGAGGUUAUGAUGGAAUUGGAUUUUUUACUCGGAGUGGUUUGAAGAUACAGGGGUUGAUUUAAGGCAUAAUGGAACAGAUUUGAUUGGGGAAAUAAUUCGUGGUGUUUCUUUUAUAAAUGGAGAAGCGAAAAGAAUGGAUCUGAUGGAGGAAUUCGACGAUGUAGGUUAAUUUUGAAAUACAUCCUACUCAGUUUUUUCCUUCAUUAUAUCUUAUUAUAGAUUUCUCACAAAACUUUUAUUUUCUGUUGAGGAAGCACUUAUAAUUUAUUUCUCAUCGUUGCAACGACAUGAAGAGCGAGAAAGGUAGUUAAGCAAAAAUGAAAAAUUGUUAACGUUUACUUGAUCAAGUUUUUGUAAGGCAGUUCCUAAUGACCUGUAGAAAGCGGCAGGAACUUCUAGUUUGUUUCGUGGAAAUAAUCAUUCGGAUAAUGCGGCUGGUUAACAUUACCGGUAGCGUUCCAAACUUGGAACCAUCCACACUGUUGACAAUAACGCCCCGAUAGUGAUCUCGAAAGGAGGUGUGGGUGACAAUACGGGUGACAAGCGUGUUACGCCAGUGCGAACAGGAUUUAACAUCGCCGUCUCAUUUAGUUAAAUCCUUUUUUUUCCCUUUGGAACAGAUUUAUGUCUGUCCAAUUGGAUAGAUUUACAUCUGCGUACACCUGCUCAAUAUAUUAUGUUUUAACACGUCGUUGCUUUGCUUAAUACCAUCGUAAUUUAUAAUAAUUUCAUAUGCCAAUGUUGCUUGAAAUAUUUCCUCUUGUAAAUUACAUUAAGACAUUUUUUAAAUGGAGAAGUGCAUAAUUUAUGUUGGAGGUUAUUUAACUAAUUAAAUUUCUCUAAAAUCAA